rnacentral:rRNA from 1 species
UCAGAGUUUGAUCCUGGCUCAGGGUGAACGCUGGCGGCGUGGAUAAGGCAUGCAAGUCGAACGCCCAGCCGUACUUUUGUCGGAAUGAAAUUUUCAUUGUUGCAAAAGUACGGCUGGGAGUGGCAGACGAGGUAGUAACACGUGGGAACCUACCCCUCUCUCGAGGAUAACUGCGGGAAACCGUAGCUAAUACUCGAUAGUCUCUCCGGAGUAAAGCUUUUGCGGAGAGGGAAGGGCCCGCGGGGUAUCAGCUUGUUGGUAGUGUAAUGGACUACCAAGGCUAUGACGCCUAGGGGAGGUGAGAGCCUGACCCCCACCGAUGGGACUGAGACACGGCCCAUACUCCUACGGGAGGCCGCAGUCGAGAAUCUUCCGCAAUGGACNNNNNNNNNNNNNNNNNNNNNNNNNNNNNNNNNCGGUAAUACGUGAGCCUCGAGCGUUACCCGGAUUUACUGGGCGUAAAGGGUGCGUAGGCGGUCAUAUUAGUCCCUUGUUAAAGCCCUCGGCUCAACCGAGGAAUCGCGGGGGAAACGGUAUGACUAGAGGAUGCGAGAGGUCUGUGGAACUCAUGGUGUAGGGGUGAAAUCCGUUGAUAUCAUGGGGAACACCGAAUGCGAAGGCAGCAGACUGGCGUAUUCCUGACGCUGAGGCACGAAAGCCAGGGUAGCGAAUGGGAUUAGAUACCCCAGUAGUCCUGGCCCUAAACGUUGUCCGCUAGUUUUUCGGAGUAUCGACCCUCUGGGAGACGAAGCUAACGCGUUAAGCGGACCGCCUGGGUAGUACGAGCGCAAGCUUAAAACUCAAAGGAAUAGACGGGGGCUCGCACAAGCGGUGGAGCGUGUGGCUUAAUUCGUAGCUAAGCGAAGAACCUUACCAGGGUUUGAAACCAUGACGAAAUCUCUGGGAAACCAGAGACCCCUUCGGGCGGCAUGGCAGGUGAUGCAUGGCUGUCGUCAGUUCGUGGCUUGAGCUGUUCCCUUAAGUGGGGAAACGAACGCAACCCUCGUUGCCUGUUACAAGUGUCAGGCGAGACUGCUCCCUCACGGGAGAGGAAGGUGAGGAUGACGCCAAGUCAGCAUGUCCCUUUGAUAUCCUGGGCUGCACACGCGCUACAAUGGGUGGUACAACGGGGCGCGACGCCGAGAGGCUGAGCAAAUCCUUAUAAAGCCAUCCCCAGUUCGGAUUGAGGUCUGCAACUCGACCUCAUGAAGUUGGAAUCGCUAGUAAUCGCAGGUCAGCAACACUGCGGUGAAUACGUUCUCGAGCCUUGUACUCACCGCCCGUCAACUCAAGGAAGCUGGGAGUACCCGAAGUUCGUCCUCGCGACGGCCGAAGGUAAAUUCAGUAACAGGGAGUAAGUCGUAACAAGGCACGGCUAGCGGAAGCUGGUCGUGGAUCA